rnacentral:lncRNA from 1 species
GGUGCUGCUUUGUGUCCCAAAGGAUCACACGCACUUAACACUGAACUCUUCCCCUUAGAGCUCUUUAUAUCAGGCCCCAACACGCGCCCUCCCCGUUCUCCCAGUAACGUCCGCUGUUACACCUGCACAAAACCUAGCACGCAGAUAAGGAUCUCGGUGAGAUCCGUUGUUUUUUUUCAACCGCGGCAGCGCGCAGCUCAACCCGCAGGAACUGUCGCCACCGCACCGACGCCCCGCAGCCGGCCCGGCCCCACUCGGCGCCCGGCGCUCGCGCAGCCCUCAGCACCCCACCCCGCCGCCGCCAUUUUCCGCCACCGCCUCCUCAGGGCCGAGGCGCGGGAAUGCGCCCGCCUCCCUCCGCGUUGCUAUAGCAACCGCGAGCCGGCUGGCGCCCGCCGCCGCGCGCCCAAUCGGGAGGCGGCUCUCCCCCCUCCCUCCCCCGGCGCCGGAAGGGGCGUGUCCUCGGCGCCGGAAGCGGGGCCGCAGCUCCGCAGGGUGUGUGUGCGUGCGCCGAGCGGCCGCCGCGCUCCAGUCGCCUCGCCCGUCGGGAUCCAGGCUGCGGUGCGCGCCGCUCCCCCCGCCAGGAAGAAAAACUGCGUAUCAGGCAGCAAUUAUAAAAGCUACGUUCCUACAAAAGAGUUUGAAAGGUUGUUAGCGUUCAUGGCUGUAGGAAUGCGUGUGUCUUCACAUACACACUGCUGCGGGACCUCAGUCAGAAACUAGUACUCUUAUUUAAAGAGAAACUUGCUUUUGUUUGAAAGUAAUAUGGAGAUGUAAACUGGUCUAGAAAAAAAAAAAGAAUGUGAAUGCUUUUUUCAUUCUUGAUAUUAAAAAUCUGCAAAAAUGUAGUUUAUGUAAUACUUUGUUUAUUGAAUCGGUACCACUGAAGUGGUAGACUCAUUGCACAGAUGGGCCCAGUGCAGUUUUCUCAACCUCAUUAUGUCAGUACCGCAUGUUCUGAUCUCUGCUAUUUUGAUGUUGAGUACUUUUUUUGUAAGCAGGCCUUUGCUGGUAUGCAGCUUUUUGUGCUGUAUGUGAAUAAGCUCGGAUGAGGAGGAGCUAUGUAAAUAAUUAUUUGAAUGAUGAGAUAAAAAGCUAUACUGUAUCUGUCUGGUAUCCUCAUAAAUCCCAGCAGGACUAGGCCUUAUUUUCAGGUCUGUUACGUGGCCACACUUUUUGCUCCACGCUGUAAUGGAAAUGUUUCCAGGUUAUUAUUAACAAAAGCGAUUUACCUGAGAUACGUAUACAUUACUUUGUCAUAAAUUUUAUGCCUGGGGGGAGGUUUUUUGGGAUAACUCACUAUUUCCACUUGGGCUUGGGCCAAAAACGCGCUCAUUGGGACAAUGAGGUGUUACUGUGUAAGUAUACUGUACUUUGGAACCGCGCGCUUGUCUCCACCUGCAGCUGUCCUGUGUGUAGUGCCAUAGGUAUGUAGCAGUGCAGUGCUUUUCAGCCUCAAGUUCCUCAUCAAAAGUCAUUAGGGACAGCAAGGCUGCGGUCACUAAAUUUAAGUUGUCCAUACAAUAUCAGUUGCCAUCCAUACUCUUGUUACCUUUGAUAGAAAAUCCCAUGGUUACGUACAGAGAAAUGAAAGCCUUGUGUAUCAUUUUUUCCAAAUGGUGUUGGUCAGUUUUAGGGAGCGGGAAUAAAUGGUGGCAGAAAGGGGCUGGAGCA